rnacentral:rRNA from 1 species
GAUGAACGCUGGCGGCGUGCCUAAUACAUGCAAGUCGAGCGAACAGACGAGGAGCUUGCUCCUCUGACGUUAGCGGCGGACGGGUGAGUAACACGUGGAUAACCUACCUAUAAGACUGGGAUAACUUCGGGAAACCGGAGCUAAUACCGGAUAAUAUAUUGAACCGCAUGGUUCAAUAGUGAAAGACGGUUUUGCUGUCACUUAUAGAUGGAUCCGCGCCGCAUUAGCUAGUUGGUAAGGUAACGGCUUACCAAGGCAACGAUGCGUAGCCGACCUGAGAGGGUGGAUGGACAGACUGGAACUGAGGAACGGUCCCGACACCUACGGGGAGACACAGCAGGGAAUCCUACGGGAUGGGGCAAAGGUUGACCGAGGAAAGCCGCGGGAAUGAUGAAGGUCUUCGGAUCCGAAAACUCUGUUAUUAGGGAAGAACAAAUGUGUAAGUAACUAUGCACGUCUUGACGGUACCUAAUCAGAAAGCCACGGCUAACUACGUG